CUCAGAUUCUGUAGUCCUUAGAAUUUGCAUUUCUAAGAAGCCCCCAAGUGACACUCGUAUGUCUGGCCUAGACCAAAAUUUGAAAACCACUGAGCAAAUUCUGCUGUGAUUCCCAUGUCUGGUUCCGGAGUACAUGGAGUCAGCCCCACACCCUCCCAUCAGCUCCCUCGGGUCCUCUGGAGGCGUCUUUACUCUCCCCUGCUGCGUGUCUGUUGGCCAGUCCACUGUUUAUUUGCAGCUCUUCAGGGAGCAUUUGGGAGAUGAGUCACAAAUCCACCGGUGAGCUCCUGGUUCAAAGCUCGGCAGAGCGCCCCAAUGAGAAGGUCAAAG
rnacentral:lncRNA from 1 species